rnacentral:rRNA from 1 species
UGGUGGCUAUAGCAAAAAUGAACCACCCGAUCUCAUCUCGAACUCGGAAGUGAAACUUUUUAGCGCUGAUGGUACUUGAAAAGG